AUGCAUUCAUUUACACCUCAAAAGUUAUCAAUCUUAGUAGCACACUGCAUUACACACAAGUAACAUGAUCAAUCCAGGAAAAAACAAUUGUCAUCUGUUUCUAACACAAUUCCCUGAACUAUCAUUGGUAGCUACUUUACUUCAAUAAACUCAAGAGCAGGGCAAAUACAACGACAAAAUUAGAAACUACCAUAACGUCCUUUAAGAGAAACGGAU
rnacentral:misc_RNA from 1 species